GUCCAGCCGGGCUCCUGCCCACAGACACCACGUCCUCUUCGCGGCCGAGCAGCCGCUGUCCCCCGCCGGCGUUAUGCUGCUUCUCCCCGUAGUCUAGUCCCCGUUCAGCUGAGCCGCAUUCAACGCAGUGAUGAGAAGGAUCUGCCGGAGAGUAACAGCCUGGACCAUUAUCAUAACGUGAGUGUCAUGGAGCUGGAGAAGGUCACCACAAGCGCAAGAAUCAACAUCAGCAUCCUUACAAAAUUUUGAGGAAGGACAAGACUUGUGAGCUCCAUUCCUGCUCGGACGUUACGCCUGAACUCUUCCUUAACAGCAAAGUCUGACACGGCCUGAACCCUCCUUUCCCCAAUACUCAAUGUUUACAUUGAUUUAUUACUCUGUUUUCACUCGGGGGAGCAAAUGUCUUUGCGGCAAAUCAGUAAAAUGUAAAUAGCAGUGGUUUCUGUAACUCAGGGUACGGGGGAUAAAGGAGCAUUUGAGUGCAGCUGUAACAAACUCUGUAGGAUAACUCUGAAAGUUCUGCAUAAAAACAGGUUCAUGCUCCCAAAACCCAAGGCUGCUUGAUCUGCUCAAGGCGUUCUACCCAUGUGAUAUUUUAACAGGGCAGACUGCACGUGGGCCUCGACAGCGUGCGACAGCUCUUAAAAGGCACCUGCCAAUGAGUGACCAACCCAAAGAUCCGGGCCACUUCAAGCUGGAGGAACAGCCAAAAGAAGUUUGUGUGUAAUAUGGCUUUCGGCCAAAAGGGGGCGCCUUACAGGCCUUAGGCAGUUUACUCAGACUCAUUGCUGCCCUGACACAAAGCCGCAGUGUAUCAGUGCUAGGCUGAAUGAUCUCACCUUUGCUACUAAUUAUAGAAAAUAACUGGACUAGCCAGCAAGAAAAUAAGUGACCUAUUACUAGUUCCAUUCAUAUGAGUUAGGAGAGCUUAGAUCACCAAUAACUGCCCUCUUAUGUCUGUGGAAUCUGGCCACAUCUGCCAGCAGAGAGCACAGGGCUGCGGCGGGUUCCGGCUGUGCGUGCAGAACCAGCUACGGCAGGACACUUAAAAGGGCAAGUGGGUGCAACUUAGCCCGGCCUCUCCCUCCCUCCAGCUGUCUCACGUCUAGGACACCGCGAGCGUGAGCAGAGGGAUUUUGUGAGCCGAGAACUAAAACAGAAAGUAGAGAAGAAGCAUAACAGUCGGACAGUGACACCAAGACAGUUUGUGGUUUAUUUCUUCCCUUCUUAAGGCUGAAAAUACAAACAUCCACCAAAAUGCUUCAAAAACAACUUGACAACAAAAAAAAAAGAAAAAAAAAAAAAGAGGAGGAUCGUGUCA